rnacentral:sRNA from 1 species
GAAGUAAAAGUCGUAACAAGGUCUCCGUUGGUGAACCAGYGGAGGGAUCAUUACCGAAGUUCAUUCUUCAUACCCUUAUGUGAACCUACCCCUCGCCGCGCGUUGCCUCGGCGUGGAGGUCCGGGGCGGGGAAGGGCCCAGCGCCCGCCCCCCGCACCCGGUCCCCCGCCGGCCGCGCCCAACUCUUACUUCUGCAAAGCGGACUGCACGCUCUGAUUGCAACUUGAAAAAAAACAAGUCAAAACUUUCAACAACGGAUCUCUUGGUUCUGGCAUCGAUGAAGAACGCAGCGAAAUGCGAUAAGUAAUGUGAAUUGCAGAAUUCAGUGAAUCAUCGAAUCUUUGAACGCACAUUGCGCCCGGCAGCAAUCUGCCGGGCAUGCCUGUCCGAGCGUCAUUUCUGCCCUCGAGCAGCGGUUCCCACCACCCCUCCUUUCAGGGGGUGUGCUGGGCCCCGCCGCCCGGUGUUGGGGCGCUGCGGGCCGCUCGAGCCCGCAGGCCCCGAAAUGAAGUGGCGGUCCCGCCGCGGCGCCCCCUGCGUAGUAAGUCUCAGGACCUCGCAUCGGGCCCCGGCGCCGGCCAGCCGUCGAACCUGUCUCAACGAUGGUUGACCUCGGAUCAGGUAGGGUUACCCUCUGAACUUAAGCAUAUCCAUAMGCGGAUGA